UACGGAGGUGGCAAGCGUUGUUCGGAAUUACUGGGCGUAAAGGGCGCGUAGGCGGCCAUCUAAGUCAGACGUGAAAUCCCCCGGCUUAACCUGGGAACUGCGUCUGAUACUGGAAGGCUUGAGUAUGGGAGAGGGAUGUAGAAUUCCAGGUGUAGCGGUGAAAUGCGUAGAUAUCUGGAGGAACACCGGUGGCGAAGGCGGCAUCCUGGACCGGUAUUGACGCUGAGGAGCGAAAGCCAGGGGAGCAAACGGG
rnacentral:rRNA from 1 species